ACGAACGCUGGCGGCGUGCUUAACACAUGCAAGUCGAACGGAAAGGCCCUGCUUUUGUGGGGUGCUCGAGUGGCGAACGGGUGAGUAACACGUGAGUAACCUGCCCUUGACUUUGGGAUAACUUCAGGAAACUGGGGCUAAUACCGGAUAGGAGCUCCUGCUGCAUGGUGGGGGUUGGAAAGUUUCGGCGGUUGGGGAUGGACUCGCGGCUUAUCAGCUUGUUGGUGGGGUAGUGGCUUACCAAGGCUUUGACGGGUAGCCGGCCUGAGGGGGUGACCGGCCACAUUGGGACUGAGAUACGGCCCAGACUCCUACGGGAGGCAGCAGUGGGGAAUAUUGCACUAUGGGCGGAAGCCUGAUGCAGCAACGCCGCGUGCGGGAUGACGGCCUUCGGGUUGUAAACCGCUUUCGCCUGUGACGAAGCGUGAGUGACGGUAAUGGGUAAAGAAGCACCGGCUAACUACGUG
rnacentral:rRNA from 1 species